CGGCGUGCCUAAUACAUGCAAGUCGAACGAAACUUUCUUACACCGAAUGCUUGCGUUCACCGUAAGAAGUUGAGUGGCGGACGGGUGAGUAACACGUGGGUAACCUGCCUAAAAGAAGGGGAUAACACUUGGAAACAGGUGCUAAUACCGUAUAUCUCUAAGGAUCGCAUGAUCCUUAGAUGAAAGAUGGUUCUGCUAUCGCUUUUAGAUGGACCCGCGGCGUAUUAACUAGUUGGUGGGGUAACGGCCUACCAAGGUGAUGAUACGUAGCCGAACUGAGAGGUUGAUCGGCCACAUUGGGACUGAGACACGGCCCAAACUCCUACGGGAGGCAGCAGUAGGGAAUCUUCCACAAUGGACGCAAGUCUGAUGGAGCAACGCCGCGUGAGUGAAGAAGGUCUUCGGAUCGUAAAACCCUGUUGUUAGAGAAGAACACGAGUGAGAGUAACUGUUCAUUCGAUGACGGUAUCUAACCAGCAAGUCACGGCUAACUACGUGCCAGCAGCCGCGGUAAUACGUAGGUGGCAAGCGUUGUCCGGAUUUAUUGGGCGUAAAGGGAACGCAGGCGGUCUUUUAAGUCUGAUGUGAAAGCCUUCGGCUUAACCGGAGUAGUGCAUUGGAAACUGGAAGACUUGAGUGCAGAAGAGGAGAGUGGAACUCCAUGUGUAGCGGUGAAAUGCGUAGAUAUAUGGAAGAACACCAGUGGCGAAAGCGGCUCUCUGGUCUGUAACCGACGCUGAGGUUCGAAAGCGUGGGUAGCAAACAGGAUUAGAUACCCUGGUAGUCCACGCCGUAAACGAUGAAUGCUAGGUGUUGGAGGGUUUCCGCCCUUCAGUGCCGCAGCUAACGCAAUAAGCGUUCCGCCUGGGGGAGUACGAC
rnacentral:rRNA from 1 species